rnacentral:lncRNA from 1 species
CGUUUUCUAAAUCGCUCGAUUGCAGUGUCUGAAACCUGAUUUUCAUCAAUGUUUUACUCUCAGCUCACUCGAUGGCUUUGGCUCAAAUUUGAUCCUUUGGAUAGUGCUACAUGAGAUCUACAGGUUUGCUUAAAAGAUCAAAGUCUAAUUCAACCUGGAUUUCAAACCACAAGGCUCCCAAGAACCCUAUGUCGAAACUGCCGAAUCCCAGACUUAGCCAAAUUCGGCUAAGUGUGGAAACAGCACUGAUUUCUGGCUUGUGGGCUAAAUUUGAAUGUGUUCCAUGGUUUUUCAUAAAAAGUAAUCAACAUAUCUUUUGUAGCUUAUGAAAUUUACUACAACUUUGUUUUAGAUAUCAUAGACAUGAAAGGUCUCUAACAUCAGUUUUAUAAAACAUCUUUAAAAAGAGGUCUAGGGGGUCAAUUAGGUCAAACUAGGGUUAACCAUGUCUUAGGGGUGUUUUUGGACAAAACCUACAACAUGAACUUUGUUCAAAAUGCUAUUAUAAACAUGAUUAAUGUAUUUUGGAAGAGAAUGUACACUCAUAGGCAUUGGUCACCCUUUAUUACCACUCAUAUCAAGUCACAUAAGCAAUUCAAUCAUGCAUAGUAUACAAUAGAUGACAUGUGAUCAUGAUGGAUGCUUAUGAAUGAGCUUGAUAAUGCUUAUGUUGAUGCAAUGCACAUGGUUAACAUGCAAGCUAACACUAGGAGUGUUACAAACAAUCCCUGGAAAGCCAAAUCGGCUAGCUGCCGAUCGUCGAGAACCAGACUAUAGCACUUAUUCUUAACCUCUCACAAUCUUUGCACAAAACUCUCAACCGAUUCUUCAUUGCGUUGUUUCAGCCUGACUAAAUCGGUAAUCUUCUUCUCAUGAACUCUAGAAAAGAAGUAUUUAUGGAAUUGUUUCUCUAGAUCGGCCCAAGUGAUCACUAGCUUUGAUUCAGUAGUAGGGGUAUGAUCUCGAGGGGCCAGGGGGCCAUGCUUAUAUAGUCUUUUCAGAUGAAUCUGGACCGUUGGAUCAAACCAACAUUGAUUGAAUGGUUAUUCUUGAUCCUUUAGGUCGGUGGAGCAUGAUCCCCAAGUUGUACCCUGAUUGGGCAAAAUAGGAGGGCGGGCGCCCUGUCCCUAAGCCCUCUCGGCCUCCGCUCGGUCCCGUGGGUUCUGGAGUUUUCUAGAUGAUAGAAAAUUGCGCGGCAUAUUAAUAUCUCUAUGUAAACCUGACGUGUGGGCCUUUCUUCCGUAUUUCUUGAUAACCCCCUGCAGAAAUAGACAAACACCAAAACUCGUGGAAUUCUGUCAGAUAAAACCCAAAGUCUGGGUGUCAGUUUCAUUUAGAUCCUUUUCCGUGAUUAGUUGACGGUUAAAUAUGAGCAUUAAGGACCGUCAACAAGCCCCCCAAGCUUAACCUUUGCUCGUCCAUGAGCAAAGAUGGACUCAAGAGUUUCUGCAGUGGUUUUAUGCCUUAAAGAUACACAUGCGUUCAAACAAGAUCUCAUCUCUGGGUUAGGGUAAACUGUUAAAACUUAAAACUUACUCAUUUUAUCAUUCACCAUGGGGCUUGCAACCGUCACUUGUGUCUUGAGCAGUUAAAAGAUAGAACGGUCUAGUCAAGUGUCAUGUCUCUUGUUCUUUGAUUAACCAUAGCUAUUGAGUUUUUGCAGAUUUUCAAAUAAAACUCAGAUAUUCCUUGUGUGACUCUCUCUAGUCUCUCUUUUGUGGUAUUUCUGGAUCCUUACCAAGGAAGUAAUGGUGUAUGCCUUCUCUCAAAGUAUGUAGUAUUUGUGGUAUGAAGCAUAGUGACAUUGUCUUCUCUCUCACCCUACUCUAAUAUGGCUUUUGAUAUCUGGAGCUCAUAGGUGGGAGACAGCUAAUACAUACUUACAAGACAUUUAUUGCAUAGUCAAACCAUGGAUCCAGAAGAACAAGUCAAUAAGUUAAAUCAAGAUGUGCAUGUGUGGCGAAUGAAUGGUGUAUGGUGAUGAUGGUGAUAACAAUGGUGAAAGUCUAAUUCUAAUUGUGCUCUUUUGAGGGGAUACAUACCUUUCUUGCUCUUUUGAAACUUUUUGAGGAGAAUGGGAUGCUCUAUAUUUUCUUUUUCUUUUCUCUCAGGUGGGUAUCUUGUAACCCUAAUUCUACUAUCGGACACUUAUCCAUUUUUACCUCUCAUCUUACUUUUUCUUUUCUUUCGAGGUUCCAGGCACUUGCCCCUUUUUAUUUCCUCGUAUCUUUUUUUUUCUUCUCUUUUUUUCUUUUAGUAGAGCACUCAUCUCCUGAAAUAAUAUAGCAAGUGGUAGUAACCAAGAUAACUUGAGCAUUUAUUUCAUAGGAAAAAAACAGAAAUGUUUGUGGCUAUUCUCUCCCGGAUUAGAAGUAGAAUAUUUUUAGGUGGUUCUGGAGAUGGAAAUGGGUGGAUAUAUGUGGAUGCGUACUUCCAGAGUAGAAGCAGCAUAUGUGAGUGAACGUGCAAGUGAAUCUUGACUUAACCAGAUGACAAGCUCCUAAGGGUCUACACAGCUUGACCACACUCAAUGCUCAUAAGCAGUAAAGUAAAUGUGUGGCUGAAAGUUUAGCAAGCAUGUAUAUAUGGCUUUGGUAGGAAUUUAAACUCUCAUCAUGCAGGAACUCAUCAUGCAACAUUUUAAAGAUUUUCAAAGAUAAAGUUCUCCAUAAUUCUAGUAUCUCUAGGAACAAAUAAACAGCAGCUCAACCUUCCCAUAUCAUAUCCGUUAACGACUUAGACUUCAGAUCAAGUACUCUCCCCACAAGUUCAGGUUUAGAGCAAAUCUUAAUUAAUACCAGACAUGCCUAAACUUGAGAGAGAUUUCAAUUUUGAGAACUAGUCAUGUCAGAGCAACUAUUCAUCAUUUCCAUGUGAGAGCUUAUCAUGAGGGUUCAUAGCAAACUUUAUUUAUUUAUUUAUUUAACAAACUAAGCAAAGAUAUAUAUAAGCACAAAAUCUUUAUUUGGGUUUUUAUGAUCAUGCAUCUUUUUAUUAUUUGAGUAAAGUAUAAACGUGAGUAGAACACUUAGCUCGAUAAAUGGGGGUGCUCUCCCCCAAGCUGGAUUUUGACGUAAUUUCUUCUCAUGUAGCUAGCAGGUGGCAGAGGUGUAUUUGAAUGUCGGCAGCACCCUGACAGCGAUUAGGAUGUCCUCCGUCUGCUAGUCUUCUUUGAUCCUUGAAUUUUGUGGAGCUCAAAUAGACAACAAAGCUUUGUGGAACUGGUUAAGUGUUAGCAUAAAUAUCUAGCCUUUAUCAUGUUGAGCCUCCUCAGUAAUGUUACUCUCUUUAGUAGGAUCAUAAAUUUAUUUUUAUAUUUUCAUUUUUAUAGGACAGGAAUAUAUUUAUUUUAUUUUUACGCCACCACAGUGACUGUACUUAUGGGUUUUAUGCCAUGAGCAUACUCACAUGGGGCUUACUAUUUUUAACAUUUUAUUUUCUUUUCAAGAUGAUAUGAACCUGAGUAACUAUGCAAACUAUUUUAAAUAAUUAAAAGGAAAAAGAUAACUACCAAGUUUACCUCUUGGCAAGGCGUUCAGUGUUUUUAAGUCGUCCGAACUGGACUCUCCGUUUUCUCAGUCAUCGUGGGAUUCGCUGGAUGGCGUAGUCGGUGGUUCCGUCGGUGCCUCCUCUUCGUGUAUAACUAUCUUCUCUCUCCACACCUGACUCUGUGCUACGGUCUCCUCAUGACAGUUCUGUUCAAGCUAUAUGACUUCAGACCUUAUCACUUCUCCUUCGUAGUCUGCCCAUCCAUCCUUGAUGAUUUACCUCCUCUCAUUGCGGUUGCGUCGUCUUCUUCUUGUCCUCACCUGCUUAGAGUCUUCUUAAAGGGGAAGUGCAUGUGGACUUCUCUGGUUCCAACGUAGAUGAUUGCUUUAACGGUGUUGAGGAACGGUCUCCCAAGGAUGAUGAUGGAUCGUACUCGUCUUCUCCCAUGUCAAUAACCUGAAAAUCUUUCGGACUGUCUGAUCUGCCAUCUGGAGCUGAAUGUAUGUCGGUUUUAGGGGCAUGGAUCCGAACAUGAGCUGAUAUGUGACUGGGACAUCCUUUUUGGCCAGGAACACUGACUUAAGUCAACAGUCUUGACCUCCUUGAACUGUAGAGACCAUCUUGGCUAGCUUGGUCCACAUUUGCUUGUUCCUGUUCCUCCUGUUGGUCCUCAUCCUUGGUUUAUAUCGGUAUUGCUCUGAGAUUUGUGUAGUCUUGUUCUUGAAGGAAAACGUCUCCUUCCUCCCCUUAAUGUAGAAACUGAUCUUUGCAGCGCGCGUAGAUGAUAGCUCCCGAGGUGUUCAGGAAAGGCCUCCCUAGGAUGAUGGGUGCCCUCUCAUCAGUACCAGUCUCUAUCACCACGAAGUCUGCUAGGGCAUACAAGGUACCAACUCAGACGCAGAGGUUCUUCAAUAUUCCCUUUGGGAAACUUAGUGUCUGAUCUGCAGGCAUGACGAUGGAGAUCAGGAUGACGGUGCGUCCUGGAUUGCCUCUCUUGACCGGCAGAAGGUCAGUAAUUACUUCCACAACGGGGUUACUCCAGUAGUUACGUCCUCAAGCAUCUUAGGGCAGUGAUUGCCUGAGUGUCCAGUAUCUCCAUUGUGUUUGUGCUCGUAGAUCUAGGUUCUUCACUUGGUGGAGUCUGAGAGUUGUAAAACUCCUUCAUAUGCUACUCGAAGUGUACCUGCUAAUAGAGACAAGGCAGAGAUCAAGUGCAUGGGCCCUUUUGGUGGAAAACACCAACAGAACCAAAAUUGUAUUUGUUCUUCUCUAACCUUAAGCAUAGUGAGCAAGACAAAGUUGAUGGAUAAUAAGAUCAUGAGUGUAGCAUUUAAAACAUUUGUCAGAUCAGAUCACUCAACCUUAUGGAAAGAUAAUCUAUCUAAGUAAAUGUUUUUUUACAUGACUAUCAUUUUCCAAAGAUUGAGUGUGCAACAUUUUAGUUCAUAUGAUUACGAUUGUGGGAUCACAAAGGUGGAAGGACUAAACAUAUUGAAUCGACUGACUUGGUUAUCUAGAGUUGUAAAUCAUACUUGUUUGUCUCUUUUGUUCAUGUGAACACCAGAACCAAGGAGAAGCUUAUAAAAGUGACAGUCAAGUACCUUAAGAUAUUACCUUACAUGAAGAGUGAUGGUACAAUAUCACCUUGUGGAAGCUUUCCUUUCUUAGCGGUUGUGCAUCGUGUUUGUGGCACCCUCCAUGGAUCAUCUCUUGUGAGCUAUGCCCUCCUUGUGUAAAUUAUUAACCUUCAUGUGUCUCUCUCUUUGUCUCCAAUGUGAGUUUAUCUCAGGACUUCCCAUGUCGAUAUUGAAAGUUUUUCUGCAGGGGUUAGUCCAACAAAAUAUCCCAUAUCUACUAUAGCAUACUAUUGGCUCAAAAAUCAACCUAGACACCAUGUCUAAUUUGAUUCAGGAGGGCUUUUUUAACCUAAGCACCAUGCUUAAUUUAAAACCCCUUGGAAGUA